UUUUGUAGUAUCUUGGUCAACGUGCUGAAAGGAGGAAAUAUAUAAGAAUAUUUGUCACUCCAACUUAAACACAUUGCAUUUACAGCCGAAGCUUCAGGGUCAGCCUGCCAUGAUACAAAGGGGUUAAGCUGACAAUUCUGUCUCGUGGCAAAAAGGUCAAUAUCUGGCAAUCCCAUCGCAC